AUGAACAUGCUUGCUGACACCUGCUCAGUUCUUGUGCUUCUCCUAAUGCUCAAGGGGAGCAAUGGAGACUCUGUGACCCAGACAGAAGGCCUGGUCACUCUUACAGAGGGGUCGCCUGUGAUGCUGAACUGCACCUAUCAGACUACUUACUUAGCUUUCAUGUUGUGGUAUGUGCAAUACCUCAACGAAGCCCCCCAGCUACUCCUGAAGAGCUCCACAGACAACAAGAGGACUGAGCACCAAGGAUUCCACGCCACUCUCCAUAAGAGCAGCAGCUCCUUUCAUCUGCAGAAGUCCUCAGCACAGCCGUCAGACUCUGCCCUGUACUACUGUGCUUUGAGUGACACAGUGAGGGAGUCUGCAGGGGAAGCUGCACAUGAACCAAGGUGCAGGAAGGCUGCGGGGGGAGGGCCUGUGAGGGAGUCUAUGUGCUUUUGCUAA